AACCCAUAUUUUAAUAUAAUUAAUAUUAUAUUAAUUAAUUAAUUAAUUAAUAAUAUAUAGAAGCACCUUAGGUAGCAGCUGAGCGUCAGCUUGCCGCCCAAGGGCUAUUUUCCUCAAUUUUUGUGAGUUUUAUACAUAUUUUUACUGUGAGUUUUAUAUGUGUUUUACUGAUAUACUGCCAACUACACAGGUAAGCAUGAACAGAGUUACAGAUGAACACAAAAAGGAAUUUUCAAUCUAAUAAUUUUCUUCACCCCUUAGCUCCUUGUUCUCCUCGGGCCAAAAUUUUGAUGAAAUUGAACAUAAUUGGAAGCAUUAACGAGAAGCUAAUGGUGGGUGGAAGCAGUGGGACUGAUUUGUUGAGCAUGAGGAUACUGGAAAUGGGCUCGGAAAGCAUGGAACUAAAGACAGGAUCAAGGAAAGAGGCAAAGAGCCGGAAAGGAAGGACAAUGGCCUCUGCUUUGUGUACCUUAGUCCCUAUGAUAGGGUACUUAUCACUCUAAGGGAUUAUUAGUCGACAGCAAUUUCCAGUAAGCCUCCGUGAUAGCCUCGUAUCGUGGAGGCUGAAUUAUUUCUCAUGCCAUAUUCUAGUGAGGGUCCACGGUGCGGACCCUAGUGCACGCAAUGAGCUCCGUGGUGCGGUGACGGUCAACUUUUAUUCAAUUUUGUCCUACCAUAAAAGUAACACUUAAAAUCAAAUGGGGACACUUUUGGCAAACGUACAGCAGAGGCAAAGGAAAUUACAAUACUUCUCUUAGGGUUCUUUGAACAUUUCAUAUUUCAACAUUAAUUUUUGGUAUGAUUAAUUAUAUUUCCGUGAUGUUGAUUUAGAACAUGAGUAGCUAAACACCCUUGUUCUGGGGUUGAUCCCAAGAACAUGAUUAUAUUUUGAUAUUCUUAGAGUGGUUAACGUUGAUUUAUCAUAUGGGUUAUUUUAUUC